GUUGAGUACUACAACAUUGUUAUGUUUCCACUAAUCCAAAUGUCAUCUGAUGCAGCAUGGUGCACAGUGGGAAUUGUGGCACGAUUCCACUGCAGCUUCCAAGCACAUCUCAGUCAUUACUUACACCCCCUGCACAGUGGGUUCUAGGACACACUUGUCUGGACAGGGAGCCGGGAAAGUAAUCAUCCAUUUUAAAGGAGAUGAAUGCAGCCUUGAUUCAUGACAAACUGUUCAUCAAAACAUUCUGGGAGCAAAAAAUUGUCAGUCAUGUACAGUUGACGGAAAACGAGGAACAGAGGAUGAAGAAUAGUGCACUGUCAAAGCUCCGUGAUGAAUGGCUCAUAAGACUUGAAAGUCGAACAAAGCAUCUCAAGAACUUCCGUGACGCACAGGCCGUAAAACUAACAUCAGCCAAGCAAACAGAUAAAGAAUGAUAAGUUGUACAUUUCUAAUGUAAAAUUAUCCAAAUGUUUCUUAAUAAUACAGAUCAAUAAAACAUCACAAAAUAUCUCUGCCUCCUCUCUC
rnacentral:lncRNA from 1 species